UGUAUAUUUUUCAGGUUUAGAAUGAUGAAUAUGGAAGUGGCGACUACUAAUGGUAAAGAAGAAUGGGCUGAAAAUCCACAUAAAGUUCAGAAUGAAGAAUAUGGAAAUGGUAAAUAAGAAUGCGCUGAAAAAUGUACAUCAAGUUCUGCCCACCGUGAAAGCAACGAUACAGACUGAAAAAUAGUAUAUCUGCUUAAACAUAUUUUUUAUACUUUAA